UACGUAGGGGGCUAGCGUUAUCCGGAAUUACUGGGCGUAAAGGGUGCGUAGGUGGUUUCUUAAGUCAGAGGUGAAAGGCUACGGCUCAACCGUAGUAAGCCUUUGAAACUGGGAAACUUGAGUGCAGGAGAGGAGAGUGGAAUUCCUAGUGUAGCGGUGAAAUGCGUAGAUAUUAGGAGGAACACCAGUGGCGAAGGCGACUUUCUGGACUGUAACUGACGCUGAGGCACGAAAGCGUGGGGAGCAAACAGGAUUAGAUACCCCUGUAGUCCCUGAGCGGGCU
rnacentral:rRNA from 1 species